rnacentral:tRNA from 1 species
GCCGGUCUAGUAUAGUGGUUAGUACGGUUCGUUGUGGCCGAACAAACCCAGGUUCGAUUCCUGGGGCCGGCA